UUUCCGUAGGUGAACCUGCGGAAGGAUCAUUCAUAAUAAAGUGUUUUAUGGCAUUUUUUAAAAAUCCAUAUCCACCUUGUGUGCAAUGUUAGAUCUCGUCAAUCUUGGCGAGAUUUUUAUACAUCAACUCAUUUUUUAACUAAUUUGUCUGAAAAAUAUUAUGAAUACUUAAUUCAAAAUACAACUUUCGACAACGGAUCUCUUGGCUCUC
rnacentral:misc_RNA from 1 species